CAUUGGUCGAGAGCUGUUGCCGCUCUCCUGAUGAGGCCAAGGUAGGAUGGAACCAGUG
rnacentral:sRNA from 1 species